rnacentral:rRNA from 1 species
CUUAAAUUAAAUCGUAUUUGUUGUAGGGAGGUUUGAAGUGAGUAAUGUUGAAGUAAUUUAUUUGGAAGGUGAGUAAAGGAUGUGAAGUUUAUAUUUUACCUUUAGCAUAAUGGUGAGGAGAAAAGACUUUAGUGUAUUAAAGAUCACUAAUUAAGAAGGUAAUGCUUCUAAAAGAUUGAAUGUUUCAUUAUUCUUGAUGGAAGGAAGCAAGUUUGACAUAAAAAUCGUUUUUUAAAAUAAAUUGGAAACAUAGGAGUUGAAGACUUAUAAAGAGUUGAAGAGGUAAAGGGACAGCUUUUAUUUCAUUAAGAGGAUACUGUGAGGAAUAAAAUUUUUUAUGGGAGGGUUCUUUUGUGUUAAGGAAUAUGUUUAAAGAAUUUUUCAAAAAGUAGGUUGAUUUUCUUUUAUGUAAGAGUGAAAGAUUUUAUAAAGUAAUAAAUAAAGUUAAGAGAGGAAUUUGGCAAAUUUAUAUAGAUAUUCAGUAAAGUAGUUUACUAAAAGCUAAGUCGGCCGAUAGCUGAUGGUCGGUGGGGCCUGCUCUAUGUGGAUCAAUAAAUGGCGACCUAAGGUUUUAAUGUAGCGUACUAAUUUGUCUAUUAAUUGUAGUCUAGUGAAGGGCUAAAAUUACUGAGGCUCUCUUUUUUAAUAGGUUUCUGAAAUUCCUUAAAAGUGAAAAUGCUUUUAUAUAAAUAAAAGAAAAAAAGACCCUAGGUAGUUAAAGUUUAUUAGUUUAGGAUAAAACUAGGAAGUUUUUGCUGGGGCAGUAACAGUUUAGUUGGUUAAUUUCUGUUUUUUGGUGUUAAUUUUAAAAUUUAAAGUUAAACUAACCCUAGGGAUAACAGCGCAAUCAACAGGGAGAGUUCAUAUUAAUCUGUUGGUUUACGACCUCGAUGUCGACUUAUAAUAAUUCUAGGCGCAGUAGCUUGGGUUUCGUGUUUGUUCACCAUAUAGAUUUUUACGUGAGUUGGGUUAAGAACGGGGUAACUUAGUUUGGAUUUUUUCUUUAAGAUUAAGUUUUAUCAGUACGAAAGGAAGUUAGAACUAAUAUGAAUUAGU